UGCACCGUCCAUUCAAUUUUCAACUCCCGCUCAUACCCAAUUCCCCAUACAUCCCUGUCUUCUUUUCAUUUUUCAUUUGCAGAGGAUAGAGAGAACAAGAGAAGAGAGAAUGUUAGAGAGAGGGAGAAAGAAAGAGGUAUACAGAAGAUCGGAAGUAGCGUUGUGCUCAGGUGAAGUACUCAACGGAACCCGAAAACCCUACGAAAUGUUAGUUUUCCGAUUAUUAUUCUUAUAUUAUGUCCUAAUUUUGUUCGUGAUAAUCUCAGGUGAAGUACCGGCUGCUGCCAUGGAGCCAAUGCCGGAAAGUUUUGUGUCAACUGUGGAGGAUAGAAAGCUUGAAGAUAGAGAAAAAUGGUGGAAAAUGGGAUUAAAAGCAAUAUCAGAUGGAAAACUGGUUGUGCUGCUUUUAUCUGGUGGACAAGUAUUUAUUUAUUUCACUUUUUUUUUAUAAUUAUGAUUCAUAAUUCUGUUGGUUUGGGAACUAUUGAUCAUUAUAAGUUUGUAUAAUCAGCUUCUUCAGGUAUAUAAUCAGAAUUUGCAAUGUAUGUCUGCAUAUCUCCUUUUCACUUUAUUAUAAUGACAAAUUCUGAUUAUAUACUGAGAAAGUUCCGGAAGCAGCUUAUUCUACAAAUGAUCUAUGGGCAGACUUUCAAUCUGCUGUAGAAGUUCCAACCACAGGGGCCACUGCUGUUACAAAACCCAUUAACAAUAAGCCCAAGCCCGCAUCGGGUAUAAAUGUCUUAUUUUCUUUUCUUGCCAUUUCGAUCCGUUUACUUGUAACUGAGCCGAUACAUGGGAUCCUUGUGGUUGUUCUUUGCAAAGGAGAUGAGUUGCAGUAUGGUGUAGAUGAGUCACACAAGUUGUAUGUUAAUUCAAAAGGGAAUCCAAAUUAUGCACAUAUUGAGGCGGCUACGGUUUAUGGAGCUCUACACGUGCUGUAGGUGUGUGCUGGAUAAAAGUUUCAUGAGAAGAUGGCAUUUGAAAGAUAGA